CAGCGCCGCGGGAAUACGUAGGGUGCAAGCGUUAAUCGGAAUUACUGGGCGUAAAGCGUGCGCAGGCGGUUAUAUAAGACAGAUGUGAAAUCCCCGGGCUCAACCUGGGAACUGCAUUUGUGACUGUAUAGCUAGAGUACGGCAGAGGGGGAUGGAAUUCCGCGUGUAGCAGUGAAAUGCGUAGAUAUGCGGAGGAACACCGAUGGCGAAGGCAAUCCCCUGGGCCUGUACUGACGCUCAUGCACGAAAGCGUGGGGAGCAAACAGGAUUAGAUACCCCCGUAGUCCCUGUCUCUUAUACA
rnacentral:rRNA from 1 species